UCAGUAACGGCGAGUGAAGCGGCAAGAGCUCAAAUUUGAAAUCUGGCCCCUUUGGGGUCCGAGUUGUAAUUUGCAGAGGAUGCUUCGGGUGCGGUCCCCGUCUAAGUGCCCUGGAACGGGCCGUCAUAGAGGGUGAGAAUCCCGUCUGGGAUGGGCGGCCGCGCCCGUGUGAAGCUCCUUCGACGAGUCGAGUUGUUUGGGAAUGCAGCUCUAAGCGGGUGGUAAAUUUCAUCUAAAGCUAAAUACUGGCCGGAGACCGAUAGCGCACAAGUAGAGUGAUCGAAAGAUGAAAAGCACUUUGAAAAGAGAGUUAAACAGCACGUGAAAUUGUUGAAAGGGAAGCGUUGUCCACCAGACUCGCCCGGGGGGGUUCAGCCGGCACGUGUGCCGGUGUACUCCUCUCCGGGCGGGCCAGCAUCGGUUUGGGCGGCUGGUGAAAGGCCCCGGGAAUGUGCCACCCUUCGGGGUGCCUUAUAGCCCGGGGUGCCAUACAGCCAGCCUGGACCGAGGCCCGCGCUUCGGCGAGGAUGCUGGCGUAAUGGUGGUCAACGGCCCGUCUUGAAACACGGACCAAGGAGUCUAACAUCUAUGCGAGUGUUCGGGUGUCAAACCCGUCCGCGCAGUGAAAGCGAACGGAGGUGGGAGCCCCUCGGGGCGCACCAUCGACCGAUCCUGAUGUCUUCGGAUGGAUUUGAGUAAGAGCAUAGCUGUUGGGACCCGAAAGAUGGUGAACUAUGCCUGAAUAGGGCGAAGCCAGAGGAAACUCUGGUGGAGGCUCGCAGCGGUUCUGACGUGCAAAUCGAUCGUCAAAUUUGGGUAUAGGGGCGAAA
rnacentral:rRNA from 1 species